rnacentral:lncRNA from 1 species
GUCCAGCCUGGCUGAGGAAGGGACUAAAUCCAGCUUUUGGGAUAACAUUUCUCCCCUUGGGACACUCCAAUAAAAACACACCUGGAUGGACACCCCGGGCACAAACCCAGCAAAAUCCCAAAUAUUCCAGUGCCGCCUCCAAUUCCCGAAAAAGCCAAUCCCGUUAUUCCUUUUCAAACCAUCCAAACAUUUCUCUGGGAAGAAAUGCCUCAGGAAUGAGCUUCUCCUGGAGCGACAUCCAUGGCAAAUCUCAAGAGUUAGUGAAGGAGGUAACAGAUGUCACUCAGGCUCCCCUGCUCCCAUCCCUAAUUAAGUCCGGAACCAAUCAGCUCUCAUUAACAUAUGGAGCUUUUCCCAGCCAAUAUCCCAUCCAAUAUCCAAUAUCCCAUCCAAUAUCCCAGCCAAUAUCCAAUAUCCUGGCCAAUAUCCCGGCGUUCCCGCAGGAUUUACACCCCCAGGAUUGGAUGGAAUCAGCUCUCCAUAAGGAAAAUUGAUCUUGGGAUUGUCAGCGUGGAAGGAGAAAAUUCCAAAUUGUGGCUUUCCAGGAGCUGGGGGGAGCCUGUGGGAAAGAUGGAGAAACUUUGGGACAAGGGAUGGAGGGACAGGACACCGGGAAUGGCUGGGCAGGGAUGGGUGGGAUAUUGGGAAUUGGGAAUUCCUGGCUGGGCUGGAAUUCCCAGAGCAGCUGUAGCUGCCCCUGGAUCCCGGGAAGUGCCCAAGGUUGGGCUGGAUUUGGGAUUUGGAGCAGCCUGGGAUGGUGGGAGGUGUCCCUGCCAUGGCAGAGGGGGAUUAGGAAGUCUCUAAGGUCUCUUCCCACCCAAACCAUUCCAUGAUUUUAUGAUUUUGAGCUUCAAUGAUCUUUUGGAAGCUCAAGGCACAGCAAACUGGGGGAAUAGUUGAGGAUUCCUGAUCCUUGUGUGGGAUCCAUGGAUUUUCCUGCCCCAGUGGCGUUUCCUCGUUUUGGAAUGGGCUCUGGAAGGGGCUGCUCAGCCCUGCCUGCAUCCCAAGGGAGCAGAUCCACCCUCUGCCCCCAUCCGAGGGCAGGAAAAGGACACGAUCCCAAACCUAUGGAAGCACUCGGCAAGGAAAGGGAUUUCUGUGGGGUACCAAAGACAAACCAACCCAAACCCUUCCCUUUGAGAUUUCCCAGGAAACCUCAGAGACGCCAUCCCUCCAUCUCCUCUGCCCCACACAGGCUGCUCCAAGAUUUCCCAAGGUUUUCCAGCAGCAGCUCCUGCGGUGCCUGUGAAUUCCCCCUCAUUCCCAGGGAGAUAUUCCCACAAAGAGCAGCUCCCAGGACAUCCUUGAUUCCCUAAAACCAUUCCAGCACCAAGCCGUGUCGGUGUGGAACAUCAGAGCUGUGCAACGCCCCUGACGAAUGGCUUUGCACGUUAAUUAUGGUAAUUUAUGCAGAUGAAAGGCCAGAACAAGAGAAGUCCCUAUUUAUUUUAACCAAAAGCACAAAAGGUUCAGCAAAUUGGGUUUUUAGCGGGGAGGGAAAGGGGUUUUCAGUCCUUUCAGCCUCGCAGAGGAGCUCAGGCCAGGGGGGAGAUAAGAGAGAAGGAUUUGAAUGGGUUUUUUAGCUGCUUUUUUCUCAUUAGCUCCAAGAAUCAUCCCAGAAUCCCGGAUUUUUGGGAUUAAAGCUCAUCCACAUCCACCUCCAACACAUUCCCAGCAUCCCAGGGUGUUCCAGCCUGGCCUGGAACACUUCC